AAGUCGUAACAAGGUUUCCGUAGGUGAACCUGCGGAAGGAUCAUUACAAGAAGUCUCGGGGUACCCCCCCGAAACCUUCCACCCUAUGUUUAUUGACUACUAUUGUUGUUGCCUCGGCGGGGGGUUAAAGCCCUUGUGGCCCUCCCUCCGCCGGCCGGCAGCCUCUACAAACCUUUGAUAUAAACUAGUGUUGUCUGAGCUUUUGAUAGCAAAAUAAAUCAAAACUUUCAACAACGGAUCUCUUGGUUCUG
rnacentral:misc_RNA from 1 species